rnacentral:rRNA from 1 species
AAAUAUUAUUAAUUUUUUUAGAAAAAAUAAUUUGAUUUUUAAUAAUUAUUAUGAAAAAAUUUAAAGUAUUAUAGUUGAAUUGUAUAGUGAUAGAAUUACUUUAUAAAAUAAGAAGUAAAUUUAAUUUAUUGUACCUUGUGUAUCAGGGCUUAUUAAAUAAUAAUUAGAAAUUUAAUUUUCUCGAUUUUAUAAGAGUUAAUAAAAUAUAAAUUUUAUUGUAAAAUAAAUAUUUAAGAUAUUUUAUUAGAAAUGAAAUGUUAUUCGAUUAUAAAUAUAUCUAGUUUUUAAAGAAAAAAGUUUAAUUUUAUAUUUAAUAUAAAAUUAAUUAAUUUAAAAGUUAGUUUUAGUGUUAAAUUUAAAUAUUUUUUAGGAUAAGCUAAAAAAUAUAAAUUUAUAAAUUUAUAAAAAUUUAAAUAAUAUAUAGGAUUAGAAGUUUUUAGUCUAAUAUGUUAUAAUUAAUUGUUUAAUAUUAUGGAUUUUUAUAAUUUUUAAUUUUUAUAUUUAAAUAAUUUAUUGAAUAGUAAAAUAAAUGAAAUUAUGAUAAAAUUAGUAUAAUUUUAUGUAAAUUAUUUUUAGAUAAUAAAGGUUAAAUAAAGGAAUUCGGCAAAAAUAUUUUCCGCCUGUUUAUUAAAAACAUGUCUUUUUGAUUAUAAUUUAAAGUCUAACCUGCCCACUGAAUAUUAAAUGGCCGCAGUAUUUUGACUGUGCUAAGGUAGCAUAAUAAUUAGUUUUUUAAUUUAAAGCUAGUAUGAAUGGUUGGACGAGAAAAAUUCUGUCUCUGUUUAAUUUAAUUAGAAAUUAAUUUUUAAGUUAAAAAGCUUAAAUUUUUUUAAAAGACGAGAAGACCCUAUAGAGUUUUAUAUUAAAAUUUAAUGAUAUUAUUAGAAUUUUUUAUUUUAUUAAAUUAAUAAUAUUUUAUUGGGGUGAUAAAAAAAAUUAAUAAACUUUUUUUAAUUAAAACAUUUAUUUAUGAAUAAUUGAUCCAUUUUUUGAUUAUAAGAUUAAAUUACCUUAGGGAUAACAGCGUAAUUUUUUUAAAGAGUUCUUAUCGAAAAAAAAGAUUGCGACCUCGAUGUUGGAUUAAAAUUAAAAUUUGGUGUAGUAGCUAGAUAAUUAGGUCUGUUCGACCUUUAAAAUUUUACAUGAUCUGAGUUUAAACCGGUGUGAGCCAGGUUGGUUUCUAUCUUUAAUUAAUUGUUAUAUUUUAGUACGAAAGGACCAAAUAUAAGUAAUAUUUAUUUUAAAUUG